rfam:Gossypium hirsutum cultivar TM-1 unplaced genomic scaffold scaffold804.1, whole genome shotgun sequence
UUUGAGGGGAAUGUUGGCUGGCUCGAAGCUUAAACAAAUAUAGCUUCGGUUUUGGUUUAAGUUUCGGACCAGGCUUCAUUCCUCUCAAA